AAAGAGAAAACGAUUUCAUCGGAGAGUUUUAUAGGCAUCAAGAUUUACACAAUCGCGCGUUUUCCAUGGUGGUAGCCAGUAAUCGGUGGCUUGGUUUCCGUGCUGACGUACUUUGUGCAGUAUUAACAACUGCAGUGGCUUUUGCUUCUGUUUUAGCUUCUCAAAACCCAGCUUUGGCUGGUCUGGCGCUUGCUUAUGUUAUUAACACGGCAAAAAUCUCCCAAAUGGCUGUUAGACAAUAUGCUGAUGCUGAGAACCUUAUGACGUCUGUGGAG